AGAGAGAGAGAGAGAGUUCAGUGACGUCAUGAACAUAUAUAGGAACAGAAAACGGAGAAGCUUCAGUCACCCACCAGACAUCAGAGUGGGAGGAUGUGUCUCUGCUGUCGCUCCGAAUUAUUAUCAAUGAAGAGGAGGAGGAGGAGGAGGAAGAAGAGGAGGAUAGCCAAAUGAGGAAGAGGAGGAAGACAACAUCCAUACAAGAUGACACUCAGAGGAAGAGGAAGGAGGAGGAGGAGGAGGAGGAGGAGGAAGGGGAAGACAUCCAUGGAAGGAGGAAGAGGAAGAGGAGAAGAGGGAGUCACUAACAGAAAGAGGAGAAGAUAACUGGAAGAAGAAGAGGGCCACCACCACCACCACCACCACCUAAGAGGAGGAAGAAGAGGAAGCCACCAAUAAAGAGGGAGAAGAUUUAGAAGAGGGCUUAGGAGGGAAGAGGAAGAAGAAAGGAGGAGGAGGAGGAGGAGGAGGAGGAGGAGGAGGAGAAGGCGGCGGGCAGCGGAAGAAGAGGAAGAAAGAAGUGAAAGAAGAAAGAAGAGGAAGAAGGAAGAAGAAAGGAGGAAGAGGAGGCGGCUACCAAUCAAGAGGAAGAGCCUUGAAAACGAAGAGGAAGGAAGAGAGGAGGAGGAGGAGGAAGACCAACACACACACACAC